ensembl:rRNA 5S_rRNA 5S ribosomal RNA
GCUUACGGCCAUACCACCCUGAGUAUGCCUGAUCUCGUCUGAUCUCGGAAGCUAAGCAGGGUCGGGCCUGGUUAGUACUUGGAUGGGAUUCUGCCUGGGAAUACCAGGUGCUGUAAGCU